rnacentral:lncRNA from 1 species
CACAGAAAGCCCAAGCUCUUGCACAAGGAUCAGAAGGGGGUAUAACCAGAAUUUGUUUCUCAGCAUCCUGACCAACAAUUAUUUUACCUACUAAACAGGGAAGCCUUUCAAAUAUAAUCCAGGGUAUCCGCUUCAUUUUACAACUAAAGAAAUGAAGGCUGGUUUCUGCUGGUCUAGACAUCUGGGUUCCAAAAGAAGAAUGCAUCUCCCAGGAGACAUGACAAUGAUUCCAUUCAACAGGAAGUUGAGACUGCCACCUGAACACUUUGGGCUCCUCAUGCCUCUGAAUCAACGGGCAAAGAAGAGAGUUAUAGAUCCUAACCACCCAGGAGAAAUUCGGUGGCCACUACACAAACAGACUUUUCUGACUCUGCGGCCAGGUGUUUGUAUUUAACUCCACGGUGAGGAGACUCAUCUUCUGACGGACCUAACCUAUACCAUCAAGCUCCAGCACCACAAGCAAAGACAAAAACCUUGCGGAAACUAUUUAACUAACUCCCACAAUUGCAUAAGAAGAGUCAUGAUCCUAAGAACAGAAGGGAGAUCCCUGUUGCUUUGACUUCUUGCUGUCCUCCUGCUAUUUGGCUCAAAAUGCAAACUCAGUUAUGAGAAGUACAUAGAAGAACAGGUAAACUAAAGCCUGGGCUUUUUCACCAGAGGAUGUGGAAAAGAGGCUUCAGGAAAUUGAGAAGUAUUAUGGAGAUUGCAAAAAUGAGGGAGCUGAAGAAAGAGUUAGAAUGACAGUGAAUGUGAGAAGAGAGAGAGAUGAAUACCACGAAGUUGCGUAUGUACUGCUGGACUAUACCCUGAACUGAGCAUGUAAACAUCUGACCACAGAUGGUAUAAUAAGGCUUUGAAAACUAAGCUACAAUAAAGACCAUCACCCAGGCCAAAAAUUGCUACUUGGAAAUGCACACACAGACUGAUCCAAAUAGCAUUGAAAACACUUAAAGAAAUGGU